rnacentral:lncRNA from 1 species
CACCUGGGAUCUCGCCAACACCUCCAGAUGGUGGCUCUCCUGCGGUACGCGGCCUAGGUGUCCCUCAUAUCAAUUGGGAGCCUUCACAGUGAUGCACUUAUUUGGUUUAAACAUGUGAACUUUGUGGAUUGUGUAUUGAACAUGUUGGACUUAGUUUGGAUGUAUGUGAACUGAGUUUGGAGUAUUUGAACUUGUUAUGAUGGACAAAGUGAUGGAAAUGAUAAUUUAUGUGGAUUAUGUGGUAUAUAUUGUUAUCGAUGUCGAAUAUGUGA